CAUAGUGACACCUGUCCUUGCACAUGUGGUUGCAUUACAGCUCAAUUGUUAAGAACCUUUAUUUCAUGGAUAAAGGCUCCCUGCCUGGUAUCACACAUGGGAAGAUAAGCAGAGAAACAGAACAGAUGGUGGCAACAGAUGCCAUUGCUCAUCACAGGUGAAAGGCCAUGGCUAAACUCACGAUCCCACAACUCCCAUGUUUCCCUCAUCCCCCCACCUCACAUAUUGUUACAAAUACAUCAUCAGGAGAGGAAGUUGGUUACACUGCAUCCUCAGGCAUACACAUGAAUCUUCCAACAUACAGCAAGGCCAACACCUUGAUGAAGCUUU